AAGAUUUCAACAAAAAAGAAUCAAUAAUAAGUAUAAAACUAAAUUUAAACUAUAUAAAUGAAGAAUUUUAAAGAAUUUAUCGAACGUGUCGACGACAUGUCGUGUCGGUAUUUUUUUGAAAAAUCACGAGUCAACGUAUCCGACACGUAUCGUGUCGGACACACAUGUCCGUGUCGGUGCAUCAUAAAAUUCUAUAAUUUCAGAAAAGCACCAUGAGAAAAUUAAAACAAAAACACUCACAAAAUGAACUGACGGGGAAAAAAUGAUAUACCUAAUUCUUUUCUAAUUUUUCCUACUACACCAUGCUUUCUUGAUCAGUCUAUGAUUUUUCCAUACAGAUAGACAUCGUAUGGUAUUAAUGAUUACCAUUGAUUUUUAUCUUUUGGGGAUAUAAAUUAUGUUAAAUUAUUUCCUAUUUCAUGUGUAUCUAAGGUUAAAAAGUUGAUAUUAUUUUCUCCUGUACGAAUAAAUACUGAGAUAGUAAUUUUUUUAUUCUUCGCAGGAACUUCAACUUCUCUAUGUAGUAAUUUGGUUUCAAUGUGCUUCAAAAGCUAAACAGAAAAUAGGAAAUGGAACAUCUUAAAAAGGAACCUUUAAUUCUUUCAAAUUAUAAGUAUUACAAUGGAAAGGAGCAAAUCCCCGAGAUGAAUAUCUGUGAGACCUCGCAUAAUAUCAACAAACAUCGGUCAAAUUCAAGUCAGAAAGGCAACUGAGCCAAAAGUCAAAGGAAAAAUAUUGAACACAGAUUUUAUAAUUUGGAAAAAAAAAAAAAAAAUCACGAAAUCAAACCAAACAAAAAAGUUUAAAUCGCUAAAAGGAUAAUAGAUGAGUUCUAAUCCUUCAUGUGUAUAUUGCUAUGUUGAAGCAGAUACAAAACAACACAAUAUACUUAGGACAUCAACAAUAACGAGUAAUUUCUAUUUAUAAUCUAAUUGAACAUUAUCAAAGGUAAACUUAUAGAAGAGAGAAAAUUCUUACCUUUUGACCGAAGUGAAACGAAGAGGAGAAAAUUCCAGAGAUGGACAGUCAGACCUUGCACAAUGUUAACAAAGAAACAAACGUCAAAUUGAAGUAAAAAUAUGUACAAAGAAUUGGAGACCAUUUUUCUUUUACUAAUGAGAAUAGUAAAAUCCAUCUCACUGUCUCAGCAACAAUACGAAAUCAGGUCUGAGAAAUCGAAAGUUAAAAGCAUGACGUUUUAGUCUUGUAAAGAUUUGGAUGUAAAUAAUUUGUUUGCAUUCAUGAAGGAUAUGGUUGGGUGUAUAAGAACUUCUUUAUAUAGCCAAGCCUACAGAAUAAAAGAAUUUUUAUUAUUUUUCCAAAAAAGAGAAAGAUCCAAAAGAUAGAUAUCAAUGAAAACCUCGCACAAUAUCAAAGAACGAACAUCAGAUUGAAGUCAUAAGGCAAGCUGAAGUAGAAAUCAGAAACAAGAUAUUAAACACCUCAUCAGAAGUUAAAAAAUAAUAAUAAUAAUAAUAAAAAAUAUAUAUAAAAAUAAAAAUUGCACAUGGAUUUCAAAAAUUAAAUCUUGAAAACCUGCUCCCCAACCUCUCCAUUUUCAACAUCAAUAACCCUCCUCAUUUUCUCCAAUCCCCUCUUUCAUCUCACAUUUCCUAACAUCAUUUUACCCCCUCCAUCCAAUGCACCAUUAUUAUUAGCCUGAAUAUUUGGUUCAACAGAAAGUAAACUCCAUAUAAACUACAAUAUUUUUUAAUUUUUAAUUUUUUGACAUGUAUUAUUUCAUCAAUAAGUCCAGUCCACAAGCUGACCUUGCUUUCUAUGUAGUAUUAAUUGCUAUAGCCAUGGUGCUUCUAAGAUGCUGCUUUUCUACUGUGUUCUAUCAUUAGGUAUUUGCAUGAAACUUCUGAUGCUCUGUCAGUCUAGAACAAUGAAGUAUCGUGAUUUAUGGUUGGUGUCUAUGCUAGUAGGCUGUAGCCUGCUAGUCAGAAAUUGACUUAGGGUGCAAAUGGGUCUUUCUUUGUGCUUGAGGGAUGAAUUUUUGUUCCUAAAUGGCAAUGUGGAUAAGCAUAUUUGUUCCUUAAGGUUGGGGCGUAGAGAUUCUAGUGUGAAGGUCUUUCUUUAGAACUGGAGUGGAAGUUGGGUCAACUUGCUUAUUUCUUAUAUCAUUAUUUUGUCUAAACAGAUGACGCCACUAUCUACUAAUGUGUGCUUUUAAAGCGGUCUUAAACCUCACAAGAGUUGUGUGUUUAAUUAUAAGAAGUCACAAGUAAAAGGUUUAUUGUAAUGCCAUAAAGUGCACAAGGCAUUAAAGGCCAAAUGCCUUGCUCUCUGGCUAUUUAUGCUAAUUUAACUGCCAUGGUUUUCCUCUCGCAAGGUACUCGAUCAUCAAAGCCUUCUGUAUCGCUUUUGUGUUGACAUUAUUCAGCAUUUUUGACGUGCCUGUUAUUUUGGCCAAUUUCCUUUUCUACUGGAUCAUUCUUUGCAUGUUUACUCUGAGGAGACAGAUUCGACAUAUGAUAAAAUACAAAUAUGUUCCAUUAUCCUUUGGAAAGCAGGUAUGGUGUCUAAAUAUUUUAGCCUCUGUAUUUUAUGGUUUACUUCAAUUAGUAGGUGUUAAGUCCUUAACUUUAAGCUUUCUAUCCCUUUUCUUAGGUAUAUAAGAUUCAACAAACUACCUCCUCAUUCAAUAGUGAGUGUGGAAAGGAGACUUUCUAGAAUGAAAAACGCAUAACCAGUUUGAAUCAUUUGUAGUGUGAACACGAGGCCACCCGAAUAGUUCGAAAAAAGAAAAAAGAAAAAAGAAAAAAUUUAAAAAUGAAGCAAGAAAUAACCCUAAACUAAAGCAAAUACUAAAUCCACACACCUUAGGUCGCCAGUUUCCUAUUUCGGUGCGAAUUUCUGGUUUUUGGGAGAUUCCAGCAACUAAAAAAUAGAAUUGUACACACAGGAAGAAGGAAAGAAUAUUUAGUUAAAAAAAUCCAAGAGUUGAAGGCAAAAUAAUGAGAAAUCAAUAGGUACUACAAUUAUUUCGAAAGAAGAAAAAACCCUAAACUGAAGCAAAUCUGGAAUCAACAUACCUUAUGAUUUUACAGUAUAAAUACGAGAGCGUACAACAAAUUGCAGCAAGAUGAAGAAACAUAGCAAAUCGCAAGAAGAUGAAGACUUGGUUUCACGGGGUGCCUUUCUUCUUGGCACAGAAAAGGAACACUGUGCAGCAGUAGUCUGCUCCGCUAGACUACCUUCCGCCUUUUCUCGAUCGCGUCGGGACGAAAGAAAAUUUAAUUACAAUUUUGUAGAAAGCUUACAAUAGAGAAUUUGAAUACAUUGAAAGUAAAUUGAAUAUUGAUUGAUGGAAACUGAACAUUACAAUUGAUGAAAGCAGAAAAUUACAAAUGCUGGUGCAGGGGGCGAACACCAGUGAGCUUGAAAGAUUUUUGAAUGACUAAUACCCCCUAUAAUAGCAUUCUGAACAAAAACCUAAGUGACAGGAGUAGAUGUUUAAAAGACGAGGAAUCAUACUAAACGUUUACUAAUAUCAGAGCUAUUUUCCAACUGAAAUAACUAUUACAAUGAAAAGAAAAUUACAACUCAAACUUGAAGUAAUAUUUAUAAUGUGCGGUCAAAGUUGGGCAAACUGCGGUUGCGAUAGUGUUAAGGGGCUAAGUAAAGCUGCAGUCCUUGACAUUCUUCCCCAUUUGUUUUGGCAAUGUCCUCGGUACCAUCAAUGCAUGAUAUGCUUCAAUUAAUGGUUUGAAGGCUCCGAGAUCUUUUUUUCUUUCCCAAGUAUUCUCCUCAAUGUUGCAUCCCGUCCAUUUGACCAAGUACUCCUGAUGAUCUUUUCUAGAAGCUCGAGUGAUUCGAUGGUCAAGAAUAGCUUCAUCAACCUUCUUUCCAGCUUUCUUCAGUUCAAACAUAGGUCGCUUUGGCUCAUUUCUAGAUGCGUCCUCCUUAUCAGCAAAGUAUGGCUUCAACACACUAGCAUGAAGGACCUUGUGUAUUUUACACCAUGAAGGGAGUUCAACUCUGUAUGCAACUCUUCCAAUCCUCUUCACGAUGGGUAACGGUCCGAUGUAUUUUGGCGACAAUCUUGAGUCCUUCCCUCUUGUUGGUUUGUAAACAUUUCUAUCGAGAAGUUUAACCAUUACCAGAUCUCCAACAUUGAAUUCAAUGAAACGGCGCUUUAGGUCUGCAGCCUUUUUAUACCGUUUUUGAGCUUUCUCAAGAUAACUCCGAGCAAUUUCAAUAUUUCAUUUCCACUCUUGAGAAAAGUUCUUUGCUUGAGGGGAUUUGGUACUUCGUUCGAUAUCCACUGUAUGAGGAAGUAGCGGUUGUUGGCCAGUAACAAUCUCAAAAUGACUCUUAUUAGUAGAAGAGCUCUUUUGGGCAUUGAAACAAAUUUGGGCCGCAUCCAAAAGUUUUACCCAGUUUUUCUGUGAAGUAGAGAUAAAGUGUCGAAAAUAUUCUUUUAGCAUAGAAUUGAAGUGCUCCGUCUGUCCGUUAGAUUGUGGGUGAAAACUAGAACUCGUGCUCAAAGUUGAACCAAGAAGUUUGAACAACUCAAUCUAAAAUAUGCUAGUGAAACGAGGAUCUCGAUCACUGACAAUGUCCUCAGGCAGCCCCCAGUAUUUGACAAUAUGUUUGAAGAAAAGUCGAGCUGUCUCUUCCGCAGAUACAUACUUAGGCGCUGCAAUGAAAGUUGUAUAUUUUGAUAGACAGUCCACCACGACAAUGAUAGUGCCAAAAUCCUCAACUUUUGGCAACCCAAUAAUGUAGUCCAUCGAUACACUUUCGAAUGGCCGGGAUGGGAUGGAAAGGGGCUCCAGCAAGCCCUUCUUUUUCUGAUAAUCUGCCUUAUCUUGCUGACAAAUAAGACAGAUUUUUGCAUAUAUUGCAAUGUCGUCCCACAUUUGAGGCCAGUAGUAUGCACGUUGCAGUAGUGCACAAGUGCAUUCCUCUCCGGGAUGCCCUGCCUAAAUUGUGUCAUGACAUUUUGUAAUUAGUGAUUUCCUCAGAUCUCCACCCUUAGGAACAUAUAGGCGAUCUCCCUUUGUCUUCACUAGUUCUCCAUUGAGCUAGAACUGUCGAGUUUUACCCCGCUUGAUGAGGUCCACCAAAUAUUGGGUAGCCGGGUCCUUCUCCAUAAGUGCCCAAAUUUGGUCUCUAGUGUUCGUGAAGACUGCGCUCCCUGAAAGAGCAGCUACAGAGCAGAUGGUAGCUAAAUCAGCCCAUCGACUAAGAGCAUCAACAACAUGAUUACUAGAGCCGGGAUGAUACUCUAACAUAAAAUUGAACUCUGAAAAGAAUUCCUGCCAACGAACUUGUUUGCUCGAUAGUUUUGGUUGGGACAUGAAGUGACUAACUGCAGUGUUAUCUAUCUUCACAAUAACUGGAGACCCAAGCAGAUAGUGACGCCAUCCUCUGAGACAAUGGACAACUGCUAACAAUUCCUUUUCAUGUGCCGAGUAACAACGUUCUGUCUGGUUUAACUUUCGGCUCUCAUAUGCUACCAGAUGUCCUUCUUGCAUGAGGACUCCACCAAGGACAAAAUCUGAAGCAUCUGUAUGAACUUCGAAUGGUUUAGCCAUAUCCGGUAAGGCUAAAAUCGGGUUCGUCCACAUGGACUUCUUCAACCUUUCAAAAGCAGCUUGGCAUUGGGAUGACCAAUCCCAAUCCUUAUCCUUCUUUGUCAAUUCAGUAAGUGGCAGUGCAAUUUCUGAGUAGCCUUUCACAAAUCUUCGAUAGUAAUUGCAUAACCCAAGAAAUAAACGUACACCAUGUACAAUUUUUGGUGGUUGUCAAUUUUUGAUGGCUGUAACCUUCUUCGAAUCCAUGCGGAUUUUACCUUGUUCAAUGAUGUGACCCAAGAAACUGAUAGAUGUUUGAGCAAAUGAGCAUUUAGACGGCUUAGCAUAAAGUUCAUUCUCUCGUAGCCGAUUAAAAACUUGUCUCACAUGCUGGACAUGUUCCUCCAAUGUCUCGCUGUAGAUUACUAUGUCAUCCAAGUACACCAUGACAAAAUCAUCUAAGAACCCGUGAAAUACCUGAUUCAUCAUAGUACAAAAUGUUGCUGGAGCGUUUGUCAAACCAAAAGGCAUCACUUUAAAUUCAAAGGCUCCAUAUCUGGUUACCACCGUAGUUUUUGCUUCAUCUCCCUGCUUGAUCCGAACUUGCCAGUAUCCGGACCUAAGAUCAAUUUUUGUGUAAUACUUCGCCCGACUCAGUCGAUCGAAGCAAUCCGCAACCAGUGGGAUAUGAUAGAUAUUCUUUACAGUGAUCUUGUUCAAGGCUCGAUAGUCGCAGCACAUUCUAAGAGAACCAUCGGCCUUUUUCUAAAACAAUACAGGAGCUUCGUAUGACGACUUCGCAGGCACAAUGAUUCUACUCUCCAACAUUUCCCCCAAUUGCUUCCUAAGCUCUUCAAGCUCGGGUUGAGACAUACGGUAUGGUGCCCUGGAGGGAGGUUUGGCGCCUGGAAUGAGCUUAAUCUCAUGAUCAAUCGUCCUUCUUGGUGGUAAUUUCUUUGGUAAUUCUUCCGGCAUGAUAUCCUCAAAUUCCCGAAUAAGUCUUUUAACGGGUUUUGGAAUAGGACCAUUUGCUUCUUCGAUCUCCUCUAAUCGAAGAGUGCACAAAAAAGAUUGUUCAUUUCUCUUGUAACCCUUACUAAAUUGCAUGGCUGAAAUACUCUUCUCGCCCAUCCUCCCAACCUGUGUAGGGAUGACACACGGCUUAUUACCCAUCAUCAUUAACGAAUCGGAAUAUGACAACACUGCUGUCUUAGUAUCCCGAAGAAAUUCCAAUCCUAGAAUAAGUUUGAAAUCAUCCAUAUGAACUGCAGAUAAAUUUGUCCUUCCCUCGAAAGGACCUGCUUUGAUCAACACCGAUUUCGCCACUCCAGCUAUUGGUUGAGCAGUGGAGUUGAUUGCUUUGACUUUUCCACUACCAUUUUCUAGGACAAGUCCGAGCCGCUCUACUUCGGUACAUGCAAGGUAGUUGUGGGUAGCACCUGUAUCCACCACAGCCCUGAUUGGCUUCCCAUUGAUUUUUACAUUAAUGUACAUUAAGCCUUUGGCCCUACAAAUUCGAACCUUCGCUUCUUUCAUCUUUGCCUCUUUCAAUGGAACAUCAUCCUUUUCAGCAACCCGAUGCGACAGUGUGUUGCACCGAUGUGAAAAUGCCCCAACUACGUCCUCAUUCUUUUCAGAGUCAGUCUCAUUAUGACAAUUAGCUUGCGAGGCCUCUUGCUUUGAACUUGACCCGCCACUUGCUAACUGACAAUAUGCAUUCACCAUCCGCUUUUGAGGACACUCCGACACCCGAUGAGGUCCAUCACAUAAAAAGCACUUCAAUUUGGGAGUGGCAUCAGUUCGGCCCUCUGUUGCUUUUCCUUUGUUCCAGUUGUUACUGUUGCUGCCGUUAAAAUUUCCUUGACGGCUAUUAUGAUAGUUUCCCUGAAAGCCACAGGUGCUUUGAUAGGCUCCUUCUCUAUUCUGAGAGUAACGCCCUCCCCCAUUUGGGUUCGAGCUGGGUUGGUAAGAUCUGUUACCAUCUCCAAUUGCUUGAUUACUCCCCGAAGGUCGAUCUUUUCUAGAUUCUGUUUGGUAGUCGCUCAAGCAUUCAGCGGCUCCCAUGGCCAUGCUCAAAUCAGUAACCUUCUAUCUUUGAAGUUUCGUACGUGUCCACGGUUUCAACCCUUCCAUAAAGGUGAAGAGCUUAUCCUUUUCCGACAUAUCUCGAAUAUUCAGCAUAUGCCCUGAGAAGGAUUUCACAUACUCCCUGAUAGAGCUCGUGUGUUUCAGGUCUCGAAGUGCCCGUCGAGCCUGAUACUCGACAUUUUUCGGGAAAAACUGCGAUCUGAUCGCUUCCUUGAGGAGAUCCCAAGAAUGAAUUCGAAUCAUGUGGGCCUGAAUGUCAGCAUAUUUGGUUCGCCACCAUAGUUUUACAUCUCCACCCAAAUACAUGGUAGCUGUGGUUACCUUUCUAGCUUCAUCUUCGAUCGAAACUGCUAGAAAGUACUGUUCCAUAUCAAACAAGAAGUUUUCGACUUUUUUUACAUCACGUGCCCCUCCGUAGGUACACGGUUCAGAAAUUCUGAGCCUAGGAGCAUACUCGGGUACAGGAGCUUGCCCAUUGCCCACCGCACGUUGGAGUACCCACAAUUGAGCUCUCAACGCUUCCAUUUCAUCCUGCAGAUCAGGAAUGAUUGCAGCAGCUUCAGCCAUUGCUGCACAAGCUCUUUGGCUUUCAUCCAAUUGGAUGUGUAAUCUACGAAUCUCAGAUUCGGCCAUCUCGACUUUUUCCUCGAGACCUUUCAUAGCAUAGCACAAUCUAGUAGUUGUCUCAUCAAGCGCAUCCACGCGCUGUUUCGUAGUACCCUUCUUUUGAGGCUCUACCACUUCAGUGGUGUGGGAUGUAAUUGGAUCCAUAGCUUUCUUAUCGAGGGUAGUGAGCCGCAGCUCUGAUACCAACUUUCACGGGGUGCCUUUCUUCUUGGCACAGAAAAAGACACCGUGCGGCAGUAGGCUGCUCCGCUAGACUACUUUUCGCUUUUUUUCGGUCGAGUCGGGACGAAAGAAAAUUUGAUCGCAAUUUUGUAGAAAGCUUACAAUAGAGAAUUUGAAUACAUUGAAAGUAAAUUGAACAUUGAUUGAUGAAAACGGAACAUUACAAUUGAUGAAAGCAGAAAAUUACAAAUGCUGGUGCAGGGGGGCGGACACCAGUGAGCUUGAAAGAUUUUUGAAUGACUAAUACCCCCUAUAAUAGCAUUCUGAAUAAAAACCUAAGUGACAGGAGUAGAUGUUUAAAAGACAAGGAAUCAUACUAAACGUUUACUAAUAUCAGAGUUAUUUUACAACUGAAAUAACUAUUACAAUGAAAAGAAAAUUACAACUCAAUCUUGAAGUAAUAUUUACAAUGUGUGGUCGAAGUUGGGCAAACUGCGGCUGUCAAGGGGCUAAGUAAAGCUGCAGUCCUUGGCACUUGGUGUUGU
rnacentral:lncRNA from 1 species